rnacentral:sRNA from 1 species
UCAAAAUCCGUUCAGCCGUUUAGGCGUGA